AGCAGUCGCCACGGUAAAACGGAGGGUGCAAGCGUUAAUCGGAAUUACUGGGCGUAAAGCGCACGCAGGCGGUCUGACAAGUCAGAUGUGAAAUCCCCGGGCUUAACCUGGGAACUGCAUUUGAAACUGUCAGGCUGGAGUCUUGUAGAGGGGGGUAGAAUUCCAGGUGUAGCGGUGAAAUGCGUAGAGAUCUGGAGGAAUACCGGUGGCGAAGGCGGCCCCCUGGACAAAGACUGACGCUCAGGUGCGAAAGCGUGGGGAGCAAACAGGAUUAGAUACCCCAGUAGUCCCUGUCUCUUAUAC
rnacentral:rRNA from 1 species